AGUGAACGCUGGCGGUAGGCCUAACACAUGCAAGUCGAACGGCAGCACAGUAAGAGCUUGCUCUUACGGGUGGCGAGUGGCGGACGGGUGAGGAAUACAUCUGAAUCUACUUUUUCGUGGGGGAUAACGUAGGGAAACUUACGCUAAUACCGCAUACGACCUACGGAUGAAAGCAGGGGAUCUUCGGACCUUGCGCGAUUGAAUGAGCCGAUGUCGGAUUAGCUAGUUGGCGGGGUAAAGGCCCACCAAGGCGACGAUCCGUAGCUGGUCUGAGAGGAUGAUCAGCCACACUGGAACUGAGACACGGUCCAGACUCCUACGGGAGGCAGCAGUGGGGAAUAUUGGACAAUGGGCGCAAGCCUGAUCCAGCCAUACCGCGUGGGUGAAGAAGGCCUUCGGGUUGUAAAGCCCUUUUGUUGGGAAAGAAAAGCAGCAGGUUAAUACCCCGCUGUUCUGACGGUACCCAAAGAAUAAGCACCGGCUAACUUCGUG
rnacentral:rRNA from 1 species